rnacentral:lncRNA from 1 species
AGUAAGUUAUCUUCACUAACAACAACAACAGGACAACAGAGAUGGACGACGGAUCGGGAAAGCCAACCAGACAGCGUGAGGCCAGGACGGAAAGAGGCACAGGGAGCUCUGCUCAGUGUCGCUACAGGGGAUCUCUCAGGCUCACAACGGGCCACUCCUCUAGGGAAGUUCUGGUCUCAUCAUGAUCCUUGUUUGGUCUCACUCCCCAUGUCCUUCUCUGUCCCUCCUCCAACUGCCAUUUAUUUAUUUAACUGAAAAAGUACCAAUCACCCACAUAGGCAUGACAUACUCAUCCAUGUACCCAUUUCUUAAAAUUGAUCAUUGUUAACAUUUGGUGUAAUUUGCUUUAUUUAUUUUUAAUGAAAUAAAUAAAACUUUACAGAAAAUGCUUUAUUUUUCUCUUUGUUCCCUCCCCAUCCUAUAUUUUUCUCCUAAAAAACCCUAUUAUCAGAAAUAUUAGUGUGUAUUCCCAGUUUCGACUUUUUAUUUUAUUACACACACACUCCCACACAUAGCUGUGACAAUGAACUUCACAUAGUAUGGUUCUGUAUUUUCUCUUUGUUUUUCAAACUUACAUAAGUAUUUUACUAUUUCUCAUGGAAAAACUCACUUUUCCCAUCCAACGUUAUGUUUCCUUAAGAUCUCUCUAUGUUGAUAUAAAGAAAUCUAGCUCAUUCUUUUUAAUGAAAAUAAAGUAUAUUUUAUGAAUGUAACUCAUGCUAACCAUGGCAAUAAAAGCUCCAUCAAGCAUGCAUUUAGUUCUGUAUUUUGUUCAAUGCUGUAUUCCCAGUCCCUAGAACACAUACAGAGUAGUGGUUCAUUAAAUGUUUGUCAAAUGAAUGAAUCAAUGAAUCCACUCAUUUCACUGCUGACAAGCAGUAAAACUGACGUCAAUUUUGCACAAACUUUUACAAGAUUCCUCGGCACCCACAUAAGAGACGUACUAAUACGUCUACCUAGAAAUAUAUGUAUUGCAUUGACAGAAUUUGUGUUUUUGGUUUUGUGGGAUUCUCUGAAAUGCUAUGUGACUUCUUAAGGGCUUGGCACAUGCUGUAGGCUGUUAAUGUGGCUGAGGGGUUUGGCUCUCACAUGACCACUGCAGACAGGCUGUGUGCCACCUGCUCACUUUGUAAGCUUCUCGUCCCCCUCUGACAGCUCUUUGCAAUGCUUUGUCUUUUCUUCAAAACUUUAUAUAUAUUUUUUUAAGAAGAAAAAUCUGAUAAGCCUUUGUCAGAAAAAAGUGGGUGAAUUCUUCCAAGUAAUAAAAUAAUGCAAAGUAUAAAAUAAAGAGGAUAAACCGAUUCACAGCUAGGAAUACAAGGUAUCUUUGGCCAAUGGGAUUUUGCCUUCGUGCUUUCAAGCACAGUCACUUUCUGUGCAAGGUUGUAAGUGUUCACCAUGAGCUUUAGGUGGAUCUAGCCCUGUAACAACAAAUCACUAGUACCGCUGGAUCAAGAUUAGUGUACAUUUGUGUUUAAGCAAUAUCAUGGUCCAUUAAUUACGUGCACUGCAAUUUAAUGGCCUUGCAGAUCUUAACACUGUGCUUUUAUUUCAUUUUUGCCUAGGCCCGCCUCACCGCUAAAUAUAAAUGGAAUGAAGCACUUGAAAACAAAAAGUAUAAAAAUGUGUAUAUUUUUCAUUGCAAAGCAAUUCUUAAUGGAUUUUGUAAACUUUGCAAAAUUAAAAGGAAAAUACUGUCAGGACACUAAGCUUCUUCCCAGGUUUUCAGAUUCCGAAGCUUUAGUUGAGGGCAGUUGAAGAACCUACAAGGCUGUUCCGGAGACCUUUGUGAAUGUGAAUGAACGCCCUUUGCUUCAAAGGCACCUGCCUGGUGCUGAGGAAUCGGCCUUGGAGCCGCCGCCCACGCCGGGCCGCUGCGGGAGAACACUCGGUGCCCCCUGCUGGUCAGACCGAGGCCCCGCAGCGUGGCACAGAGAGCUCCACGGCACGCGUGGUGUGGGAACUGCAGGCUGAAAAACGCUCCCAGAAAUGAAAUAGUGAGUGCCCGUGGAUCUGGCACCACCUUAACACUUCCUCGUUAAUAACACAUGAUUUUUGCUUUAUUAACCUAUAAGCACUUCCUAUGUUUACACUUCUUGGGUUUUGAUAGAAACUCGUGAUCAGCAAAAUUCUUUCAAUGAAAAUUUGUCAAAUUACUUCUCCACUUAAAAGUGGAAACAGUGACGUUUUUCUUGAACUCCACGUUUAUUUAUAUUAUUUUUUAAUUUCAUUUUUGCUUUACAACCAUCUAAUGAAUUUUCUUUAGAUAAAAUUCCCUCUAGGAUUUUAAGAUAAAAUUCCCUCUAGGAUUAAGUUUUGGUCAUUUCUCUCAUGAAAUGUAUGUCAGAUUACAUUAUUUGGAACCUUAUUUUUCCAUUUUUUUUUCAGGUAGUUUAAUAUAGUCAGUGAAUCAGCAGUGAGUUGUAGCAACUUCCAUUUCUGACUAUGUAAAAAACUAAUUAUUUUGAAAACUCUCCAGGUAUAAGAAACUUAGACAAGCUGCAUAAAUCUAACAUUGACUUAAAUGAACAGCAGGUUUCUCAGGUAAGGAAAGCCCUCUGGGCUCUAUAAAGGAAGAGGGGGGGUGAAUACCUAACAGCAAAGAUCUUGUUGAUACUACCUAUAAUUUCCCUGUGACAUUUGCACAUUUAGGGGGAAAAAACAUAGUUUUAACAGCAAUGAGGAAAUGGAAGGCUGUUAGUCCUACACAAGUCCUACACAAGAGAAGUCUGCAGAAAAGUACAACUUCACUAAAAGAUUGGACCUCCAAAAAAAAAAAAACAGCCUUUGCAAAUACCCUUGCCUUCCUAGCCUAAGCUUUGUGUAGGGAUUAUGUCUAACCAUAGUACUGGCCUUGCUCUGGUUUGGGAUUUGUAGUCUCACUGUCUCCAGGGUCCAGUAGACCUCACUCUAGAAAAUAACAUAUAGUGACUUCGCUUCUAAGGACAUCUGGCAGAAGCAAAGACAAAUAAAUCUUCCCUGGAGGAAGGAGCACUGAGAAAUGUUUACAGAUGAAGCUUGACUCCUCCCUUCCAAUCUUGAGCUUCCAGUACCAAACCUCUAACACAUUAGAGAACAAUUUAUCAUAAAAAGGAGUCAGAAGAAGCAAUAGAGGCCUCAGACAAUGAAAUAACUCG